rnacentral:hammerhead_ribozyme from 1 species
ACACCACUGAGGAGUCCCACAAUAGAACGAAACGACCGUUCAGUGU